GGAAAACCAAAGCAAAACAAAAUCAACUUGACUAAGCAAUCACUUGUUUCGAUGUUUUCUUGUACCCUUGAUUAUUAAUUCCUCAGAACUCCUAAGGAUUCAUGCAAAAUUUCCAAUUUAACACUGUUUCCAAUCUUAUCAGAAAAUUUCUCUCAUGGAACUGAAAUAGCACUCUUGGAAAGCUUUCAUGCUUCAAGUAUAUAAGUAGAAUCCAAACGCUUUCCAGAAUAUAUACAGGACACAACAAGGAAAAUUGAAAUGAAUGAGUGAAUAAACCCAUAACUAUACUUAAAUAAGAUGAUAUUGGAAUGGAAAGAACAACUACAAAUACAUGUACGCUCAAGAAUCCAACUACUAAACAAAGAC
rnacentral:misc_RNA from 1 species